UUCUUUUUCCACCGGAGCUUGCUCCACCGGAAAAAGAGGAGUGGCGAACGGGUGAGUAACACGUGGGUAACCUGCCCAUCAGAAGGGGAUAACACUUGGAAACAGGUGCUAAUACCGUAUAACAAUCAAAACCGCAUGGUUUUGAUUUGAAAGGCGCUUUCGGGUGUCGCUGAUGGAUGGACCCGCGGUGCAUUAGCUAGUUGGUGA
rnacentral:rRNA from 1 species